rnacentral:rRNA from 1 species
GUGUCAGCAGCCGCGGUAAGACAGGGGACCCGAGCGUUAAGCGGAAUCACUGGGCUUAAAGGGUGCGUAGGCGGUCCGCAAAGCGCUUUGUGAAAGCCCCCGGCUCAACCGGGGAACAGCAGGGCGAACUGGCGGACUCGAGGCAGGUAAGGGUUGAUGGAACAGUGGGUGGAGCGGUGAAAUGCGUAGAGAUCCACUGGAACGCCGAUGGUGAAGACGAUCAACUGGGCCUGACCUGACGCUGAAGCACGAAAGCGUGGGGAGCAAACAGGAUUAGAAACCCCCGUAGUCC